GCACUGCUGAGGAGUCCCACAAUAGGACGAAACAGUCGUCCUGUGC
rnacentral:hammerhead_ribozyme from 1 species